CAGGGGGAUUUUUCCCCACCAGUGUCUCCACCUCUUUGGGUAAUGCUGUGCCUUUGUUUUUCUAUCUGUGAAGUAUAGAGAAGAGUAUUCCUGCCCAGUGAAGAAGACUUUUGAAUCUUCACAGAGGAGGAGAAAGAUACAGAGAGACCACAUUGCAUCCAGACAGUCCCAUGUGCAACAAAGCUGAAGCAUGCAGGAGGACAAGAGCAAAGGUGAUGGAACACCAGGCCUGAAACUUGCCGAAGGUAUUUUGCCUGCUAACUUCGGUGAUGCAAUUAACAUGUCUCUAGCCAGGUCCUCAGUUCUCUCUUUUUCUUCAGGAAACUUUUUUUUUCUAAUGCUACUGAGGGUUUCCUUCUCCACUAACUGCAGUACAGCCUAUUGCCUCCGCAGUCUCUUCUCCCAGUCUCAUUUCGCUUCACAUCUAAAAGAAUGAGAAGUUUACGUACAGUACCUAUUGCUAAUGUGAAUGAACCAUGAUUUUCAGUCCACUUGGCUUUGGUAACAUGGGUGAUCUGCAAAUACACACACAGUGCCCAACUAGAGGGAAUGUGCGACAGAAAGUAAAUCCUAUCAUGGAAGUGUCAUGAUUUCAACUUCUCCACAUAAUUAAAGUAAUGCAUAACAAAAAGUGUUUUCAUUUAAAAGUCUCACUGCCUGCCUACACACUUACUCACAUAAAAGGCAGUUAUCUAAUCAUGUCUCAUCAUUGUAUUUUUUCCUAAAUCUGAGCCAAAAUAUAAUGUAGUUGUUUCUUUUUUUCUUUACUGUGUCCUUGUUUAGCUAUUGCUUUGAAUGGAAAAUGAAUCAAAAUUGAGCAGAGGUUAUAGAUCUGUCCCUGAAGUGAUAUCUGGUUCUGAUGUUUGGUUUGGUUUUCUAUGGACAGGCCUCAGUGACUUGUGAAGCCCACCUGGUACAGUGAUGCUUUGGCCAGUCCCAAUGAAGGAUGGAGAUCAGCAGCUUUUACUUGUAAUGAGAUAGUGUGGAAGUGGUGAUCAAUACCCUAUUUCUUUAAAGCAAGAAAACAAGACAUUACAUCUUUGGUCCUAAUGCAGCAUAUUAAAAAAACUUCUUAAAAGUAUCAUAUUUUUCUUUUGUAUAAACUUUAUUUUUCUAUUAUUUUUUAAAAAGUCUCCUUAAAAACUUGUAUGUUGGAAUAAAAAGAUAAAAACUUACAAAAAGAACACUAGAAAAUGGGAUUCCGAUAUAGAAAAUUGAUUCAGUGGUGAUAAAACAUUACAAAGCAUUCUUGCUAAGUGUUACAUGCAGAGUUUGAUGCUUCAUCAGUAUGUGGUUUUCAUCAGGAGGGA